UACGAAGGGGGCUAGCGUUGUUCGGAAUCACUGGGCGUAAAGCGCACGUAGGCGGAUCUUUAAGUCAGGGGUGAAAUCCCGAGGCUCAACCUCGGAACUGCCUUUGAUACUGGGGAUCUCGAGUCCGGGAGAGGUGAGUGGAACUGCGAGUGUAGAGGUGAAAUUCGUAGAUAUUCGCAAGAACACCAGUGGCGAAGGCGGCUCACUGGCCCGGAACUGACGCUGAGGUGCGAAAGCGUGGGGAGCAACAGGAGU
rnacentral:rRNA from 1 species